CCAAAGCAGAACAUACAUGUUGCCAACUAUGAGCAGAAAGAUGUGACAUUGGAGAAGUCCUGAGCAAAGACUUUAAUGGGGAUCUGGCAGUUUCCCUCUAUCAUGCUGAGUUGCUGGGCCUGAGGUCUAUGAACAGCAGAACUUCCAGCUGACUUCAUCAGGGACACUGAGCUACCAAGAUGGGAAGCUGAGUUUUGAGCUUAAGUCCUUGCAUAAGUCCAGCUGAUCUCCCAUAGAAGUGUGAGGGCCAUGUCUCUUUGAGUGUUUCCUGCCCUCUGGGAUGAAAGCUCCAGGAUGAAAAUCACCCCUGCAAAGAAAUGAAAGCUGGGAUGUCUUAGGAGGAGAAACGCUGCACAGCACUGAACCAGCACCCACCCAACAUGGGACAAACACCCAGAAUCCCCUUGAACAGAAGGAGACAAGGCUGAGCGCAGUGGUGGAAAGCCCUCUCUGGUCAAGGUCAAGCUUUGGGGAGGCUGGGGGAGGGCAUGUCUAUGGUAUGACGUGUGUAGCACGUUCUGCCCUACGUUGGGUCCAGGUGGUUGGCCUUAUUCUUAGUAUUCAGUGAUGACCCAAUUUGGUUGUUUUUUUUUCCAACUCUGGUGUUUCAAAUCAUUGUCAACUCUAUUUUAUUUUAGUCCUUGAUCAUCCAAAGACCAUUUUCCAUUUGUCCUGUUGGAGAUGUUCAAGCUGGCUCUGGACUAUAUAUUGCCAUUUUUGCAGUCUUCAUUGGAGCUUAGACAAAAGGAUCCUACACAUUGAACAUUGCUGGCCCAGGAUGAUGGCACCCAAUAUGGCCCCCUGAGUACUGGGAGCACUGGCAGCCUCAUCUUGGUCUAGACAGUGGUGCCAUUUCCUGUGAUAUCAGGAGCAGUUGGCACUGUAUUAUUGUGUACUCUUUUUCCUUCACAGACGUCUAUCAUACUGGGGUCUGAGGAGUCUCUUGAUCUAUUAAUUAGCUGCUCUUUCAGCCACCUAACCGCUGUCUUGUCUUCUCUGUCCCAGGGCCAGAGACCAGAGCAUGCUUGCCUAUAUUCAAACUUCCUCGGCUUAGAUUUACAUCUGAAUUUCUAGAGAGAAAAACCAAGGCUCUGAAAGGAAUAAGACACCACACUGAGUAUCUGUUCAAGUUUUUGCAUGGCUAGAAAGAGAAAGAAAUCUGUGCCGGGUUUCAGAAUGUGUUGGUUUGGCUGUUCCAGGAGGGUUUUCACAAGAUGAUUAGUAAAGCCCCUUACCCAGGACCUCAGUUCCUCCUGUUCAUUCCUGGAGAUGCAACAAUGAUCUAUGCACUGACCCACGUGACCUGUCUGACCUUUGGGUAUUAAUCUAUGCUCUCAAAUUCAUCAUGUGUACAGCAUCCUUGUCAUAUAUGGAUGACAUACUCUCACAGCAGACAUUCCGGCUCUUACAAUCUGCCCAACUCCCAAGUUCUGCAGCGCUCCCUGAACCGUGGGUGUAGGUGAUGUAUUUGAGAUGCAUCAGUUGCUGCUGGGUCAUUUGUUCUCUGUAUUUUGGUCAAUUGUAGCUUUUCUGUUAAAUUCUCUGUCUGCUUCAAAAAGAAGCUUCCUUGAUGAUAGGUGAGGGUUACACAGUAUUUUCUUUGCCUUGACCUGGAUUGUCAUCUUCUUCCUCCUCCUUUGAUUACUCAUGGAUUUGGCCGUUUUCUAGUAUCCCAGACUUCCUGAAUGUUUCGUCCCAGUAGUUUUUUUAUAUUUAACAUUUUCUUUUUUGGGGUGAUUUAUCUUCAACUUGUCUUCAAGACAAUACCUGCUAUCUCUUCCCCUUGAUCCAAUCUUUUGGUGAGACUUUCCUCUGAGCUUUUUGUUUUACUUACUUCCUGAGUGAGUUUUUCAUUUCAAAUUUCAUCUCAGUUUGGCUUUUCUUCAGAGAUGUUAUCUCUUUAUCAAAUACCAUCUUUAUAUCUUAAAUUCUUUUCAUUCAGCUGUUUAUGAUUUCACUGUUCUCAUUCAAGGAUUUAUUCAUAUCCUCUUUGAGUUCCUUGGAAAUAUUUUUAAUUAAUAUUUUGGAAUAAUUGUCUUGUGGGUUAGCUAAGUUGCUUUUCCUAGAGAACAUUAUAGCAAUGCUGCUUAUUUCUGGAGAAGGAGAUAUGCUGCCUUUGGCAUUCUUUGGAAGACUCCUAUGUCUUGUAAGUUUUAUGAUCUUUCUAAGUUUUGUGAGUUUCAUUAGCUCCCUAUAAGUCACCCUAUUCCCUUCAAGAAGGAAUGCUUCAACUUGAGGAAAUAGAUAUUGCAUGUUGUGAUACCAAUGCAGUCAAUCUGAUAUCUGAGAUUGAUACUGAGUGACUACUGAGUAGAUAGUGUGGAUACACAGAAUAAAGUGAUGAUCAUUUCUAGGAUGAUCAUAGUGGUGUAUGACUUCAUCAUGCUUUUCAGAAGAAUUUAUGAAUUGCUUACUUGUAGAAUCUUACAUGUACUAUUUCAAACCAUGAUUGACUUCAAGUAAGAAAAACUCCUAAAUAAACAAAUAAAUAAAUAAAUAAAUAAAUAAAUAAAUAAAACUGCAGUGAGAACAACCACAACUUGCUUAGAACAAUGGCCUCCAUAUUCAAUAUUCGAUUCUGAGGGAGAAACAAGCUCUAUGUUUUCUUA